GAUGAACGCUAGCGAUAGGCUUAACACAUGCAAGUCGAGGGGCGGCAUGGUCUUAGCUUGCUAAGACUGAUGGCGACCGGCGCACGGGUGCGUAACGCGUAUGCAACUUGCCUCACAGAGGGGGAUAACCCGUCGAAAGACGGACUAAUACCGCGUACACUUGGGAUAGGGCAUCCUGACCCAAGGAACUGAAAUUCGCUGUGAGAUAGGCAUGCGUCCCAUUAGCUAGUUGGUGAGGUAACGGCUCACCAAGGCGACGAUGGGUAGGGGAACUGAGAGGUUGAACCCCCACACUGGUACUGAGACACGGACCAGACUCCUACGGGAGGCAGCAGUGAGGAAUAUUGGUCAAUGGGCGAGAGCCUGAACCAGCCAAGUCGCGUGAAGGAUGACUGUCUUAUGGAUUGUAAACUUCUUUUAUACGGGAAUAACAAGAGCCACGUGUGGCUCCCUGCAUGUACCGUAUGAAUAAGCAUCGGCUAACUCCGUG
rnacentral:rRNA from 1 species